UACGUAGGGUGCAAGCGUUGUCCGGAUUUAUUGGGCGUAAAGAGCUCGUAGGCGGCUUGGCAAGUCGGGUGUGAAAACUUCAGGCUCAACCUGGAGAUGCCACUCGAUACUGCCAUGGCUUGAGUCUGGUAGGGGAGCACGGAAUUCCUGGUGUAGCGGUGAAAUGCGCAGAUAUCAGGAGGAACACCGGUGGCGAAGGCGGUGCUCUGGGCCAGUACUGACGCUGAGGAGCGAAAGCGUGGGUAGCAAACAGG
rnacentral:rRNA from 1 species